CUCUCUCUCUCUCUCUCUCUCUCUCUCUCAAAAAUAAAUAUUUAAAAAGAACAGCCAAAAUCCAAAACGCUGACCCUAAAUGCUGAUGAGGAUGUAGAACAACACAAACCUUCACUCAUUGCAGGUGGGAAUGUAAAAUGGUGCAACUGUGGAAGACACUUUGGAGAUUUCUUAAUAAUUAUACUUUUACCAUAUAAUCUAGCAAUUGUAUUCCUUGAUAUUUUCCCAAACGAACUAAAAAUUUAUGGUCCCUAUAAAAUCCUGCAACAGAUGCUUACAGCAGCUUUACUGAUUCCAAAACUUGGGCACAACCAAGACACCCUUAGUAUGCAAGUGGAUACAUAAAAUGAGGUAUAUCCCAGACAAUAGAAUAAUAUUCAGCACUAAAAAGAAAUGAACUAUCAAACAAUGAAAAUAUAUAGGAACCUUAAAUACAUAUUACUAAGUCUAAGUAGCCAAACUGAAAAGAUUACAAACUGUAAUGAGAUUCCAACUCUAUGACAUUUUGGAAAAAAGCAAAACUAUGGAGAUAGUAAAAAGACUGCCAAAAUUUGGAGGGUGGAGUGAAGAGAAAGGGAUGAUUAGGUUGAACAUAGAGGAUUUUUAGGGUAGUGAAAUUAUUCCACCACUGUAUGAUACUACAGUGGUGGAAACAUGUCACUUUACAUUUGUUAAAACCCGUAAGAUACACAGCACCAAGAGUGAUUCCGAAUGUAAAUCACGAACUUUGGGUGAUAAUGAUGUGUUAAUUUAGGUUUGUUGACUGUAACAACUGUACCACUGUGAUACAGGAUGUUGAUAGUGGGAGGGACUGUACAUGUGUGGAGGCAAGGAUAUGAGAAUCUUCUGUACCUCCUCUUCAAUUUUGCCUUUAACUUAAAAUUGCUCUGAAAAAUAAGUUGAUUAGUAAAAAAAAAAAAAAAAAAAAAAAACCAAAAAAAACCUUACCUAAAUUACCUAAGCUUACCUAUAAUCAUUCACCGUCUUAGUCAAAUAGCACUUCUAUUAAUUAUUCAUCACCUUAGCCAAUAAAAUCCAAUGCCUUUUCUGAUAUGCAUCCCCCUGGCUCUCAUUAUUUUGACAAGGUCACUGUAAAAACACAUGAAACAAAAGGAUGCUAGGCAGAAUUAACUUGCUGGCUGCCAAGACACUUCAUGACAUAGCAAUAGGCAGGGUCUGCAACUCAAAUUAAAGUCAGUUAAGUUUCAAGAGUUGAUUAGACAAAGGCUGUCGAUCCAUUCUAACAAAAUUCAUAAAUGACUAAUAUAGAAACCACAGUAAUUUUUCUAUUAACAACAAAAAUACAUGUCUCUCUUCCCAGCUUUCUUUACCCCAGAAAGCCUGUUAAGUGGGAAGCCAAACUGUUACCACAAGGUUGUGUAAUGAAGACCGCCAACUAGGAAAUUUCAAAGUAAUGUUCCAGCUUUCAGUAAUGUUCCAGCUGUAUUCAGAAGAAUGAAUGAGAGUUUGCCACACUAUCAAGAGAAAAGGGCACCCCAGACAGUAGACAUGGUAAAUGGAGAGACAAAAUACCAGGUCAGGUUUAAGGAAUAAACAGUAUAGCAUUGAUGAAAUAUACAAUAUUGUAAAACUAGGUAGGUUGGUGUUGUCUGUCAUACUAAAGUAAGCUUUAAUUUUUUUUUUUUUUUUUUUUUUUUUUUGGUCUCAACCUGCAUGUCUCAAAAGCCAUUGGGUCAAGAAAUCCAUUUUGUAGGUCCAAUCAGCAUUUUUUCUAAGUGAAAAAGAUGAGAACAGAAUAGCAAAUAGAGGGCAUCACAGGCAGUAAGGGUAAAUUUUUUUCAUUGAACUUUUGUUUCCAUUAUAAAUGUCUGUUUAUAUGUGUAUACUAGGUCACAGAUGUAAAAAUCUGGUUUUAUUUUUUUUAUUUAUUUAUUUUUUUUGGUGAGUCACGGUCAAAAUGAGAUUUGAAAGUCACUACUCUCCAGAUGAUAUAGACUCAUGGAAGGAAAGGUUUCAAGAAAAAAACAUGGGAAAAUUUGUUUUUACAAAAUUAUACUGGCAAUUAAUACAAAGCAGCUCUUCAUGCUAAUGGGAGUCUGGAAUUAAAUUCAGUUACCCUCUACCAGUAGGUUUAUGUAGAACAGAACAGCAUUACAAAGAAAAUAAAAUGCAUCCUAAGUAGUAAUUAAAAAGGGUGUAUUUCAUGGGUUUUGGUCUCAUUGUUUUGUAUUUCACACACAGAUAAAUUCUGUAUCACAACAUACAGUGAAUUUCUUAAUUUUUACUUGGAUGAAAUAAAAGAAAUUUUGGAAGUUACUGAUAAAGAGAGUGAUUACUUGGCAGAAAAAGAGAUGAGGGACAAGGAGAAAAUUAACAAACUACUCCAAAAGGAGGAAAGAGAAAAUGAGGGUUUGAAGCCAUAGGAGAUUUAAAAAAAGAAAAAGAAAAAAAAAAGUUUGGAAGCAAUUUAGGAGGUAGAAAAGAACAAUCUUAAUAAAUGUUUAGAUAGGAGUAGGAGGAAAAAAAGAAAGCCAGAAUGACUGGAAUCUUAAAAAAAGAACAACUAUUUUGAGAAGUAGAACAGGAUUCCUCUCUGUAUUUUACACUACAAUGCACAAGCUCCUUAGCCUGGCAUGUAAAGCAUACCACGAUAGGUCUGCAAACUAUUAAAUCUCAAUUUUUCUUCAUUGCACUCACUCAUAGGCCUUUUCACUAGGUAAAUAAUACCACUUCCAUAAAUAUUAAUAGUAUAUUGUUACAAGGUAUUAAUGACCCAACAGCACAUUAAGACUCUAUAUGAUUUCAGAUACUAUAGUGUUAAAUUUUUUUUUUAUCACAUCACAUAGGUUCCUUAAAAAAAAAAAAAAGGUGAAA